rnacentral:tRNA from 1 species
GUUGUCGUGGCCGAGUGGUUAAGGCGAUGGAUUUGAAAUCCAUUGAAGUUUCCCCGUGCAGGUUCAAAUCCUGCCGAUAACG